GCCAGGUGUGGUGGCUCACACCUAUAAUCCCAGCACUUUGGGAGGCCAAGGCAGGAGGAUCGCUGGAGCCCAGGAGUUCAAGACCAGCCUGGGCAACACAGCGAGACCCUGUCUCUU
rnacentral:SRP_RNA from 2 species